CUACGGGGGGCUGCAGUGGGGAAUAUUGCACAAUGGGCGCAAGCCUGAUGCAGCCAUGCCGCGUGUAUGAAGAAGGCCUUCGGGUUGUAAAGUACUUUCAGCGGGGAGGAAGGGAGUAAAGUUAAUACCUUUGCUCAUUGACGUUACCCGCAGAAGAAGCACCGGCUAACUCCGUGCCAGCAGCCGCGGUAAUACGGAGGGUGCAAGCGUUAAUCGGAAUUACUGGGCGUAAAGCGCACGCAGGCGGUGUGUUAAGUCAGAUGUGAAAUCCCCGGGCUCAACCUGGGAACUGCAUCUGAUACUGGGAAGCUGGAGACUGGUAGAGGGGGGUAGAAUUCCAGGUGUAGCGGUGAAAUGCGUAGAGAUCUGGAGGAAUACCGGUGGCGAAGGAGCCCCCCUGGACGAAGGCUGACGCUCAGGUGCGAAAGCGUGGGGAGCAAACAGGAUUAGAUACCCGUGUAGUC
rnacentral:rRNA from 1 species